rnacentral:sRNA from 1 species
UUCCUUUUGGCCGCGUCGCACAAGACGCAGU